GCGGAAGUGCUGGAACUGGCAGACAGGCUAGACUAAGGAUCUAGUGUUGGUUUACGACGUGUGGGUUCAAGUCCCAUCUUCCGCA
rnacentral:tRNA from 1 species